rnacentral:rRNA from 1 species
UACGGGGGGAGCAAGCGUUGUUCGGAUUUACUGGGCGUAAAGGGCGCGUAGGCGGCCAGCGCAAGUCAGUUGUGAAAUCUCCGAGCUUAACUCGGAAAGGUCAACUGAUACUGCGCGGCUAGAGUGCGGAAGGGGCAACUGGAAUUCUUGGUGUAGCGGUGAAAUGCGCAGAUAUCAGGAGGAACACCAAUUGCGAAGGCAGCUCGCUGGGACGUUACUGACGCUGAGACGCGAAAGCGUGGGGAGCAAACAGG